UACGUAGGGGGCAAGCGUUGUCCGGAAUCAUUGGGCGUAAAGCGCGUGUAGGCGGCCCGAUAAGUCCGCUGUGAAAGUCCAGGGCUCAACCCUGGAAUGCCGGUGGAUACUGGCGUGCUUGAGGACUGGAGAGGAGACUGGAAUUCAUGGUGUAGCAGUGAAAUGCGUAGAGAUCAUGAGGAAGACCAGUGCGAAGGCGGGUCUCUGGGACAGUUCCUGACACUGAGACACGAAGGCCAGGGGAGCAAACGGG
rnacentral:rRNA from 1 species